rnacentral:rRNA from 1 species
AUUGAACGCUGGCGGCAUGCCUUACACAUGCAAGUCGAACGGUAACAGGUUGAGCUGUCGUGUAGCGAACGGGGGACUAAUACAUCGGAACGAGGAAAGUAGCGGGGGAUAGCGCGGCGCAUGCCGGAUUAAUACCGCAUACGACCUAAGGGCUGAGGGGGGGGGUCGCAGAACCUCUCACCAUUCGAUAGGCCGAGGUCCGAUUAGCUAGUUGGUGGGGUAAAAGCUCACCAAGGCGACGAUCUGUAACUGGUCUGAGAGGAGGAACAGCCACACUGGAACUGAGACACGGCCCAGACUCCUACGGGAGGCAGCAGUGGGGAAUUUUGGACAAUGGGCGAAAGCCUGAUCCAGCCAUGCCGCGUGUGUGAAGAAGGUCUUCGGGUUGUAAACCGCUUUUGUCAGGGAAGAAAGCCUGUGAGUUAAUACCUCGCGGGGUUGACGGUACCUGAAGAAUAAGCACCGGCUAACUACGUG